GAGCCAAGCAAACCUGCAGAGUUGGGAAAACUUCGACCUGAAAGGAGCACAUCAACAAUUGCUUUCAUAUCAGCAAAAGAAGGAAUGAAGAGAAUGAAGAUAGAAAGAUAAUGAAUGAGUGAUUAGGUAUAAAAUGCUUGAGAAUAAAGCACUCGAUUUCCCUUUUUAAGUUUAAAAGGAAAGUAGGGGUUUCUUAAUUAUUUCAAGCAAUUCAUAUUUUGUAAACUUAAUUCUUCACAACUAUAAUUAAUCAUGAACCCCAUAAACAGUAUUAGACUUCUUGAUAUAUAACACAUAAGUUUAAGUUAAUUUC